AUAUUGCACAAUGGAGGGAACACUGAUGCAGCGACGCCGCGUGAAGGAAGAAGGUUUUCGGAUCGUAAACUUCUAUCAGCAGGGAAGAAAAUGACGGUACCUGACUAAGAAGCCCAGGCUAACUACGCUCCAGUCGCCGCGGUAAUCCGUAGGGGGCAAGCGUUAUCCGGAAUUAAUGGGUGUAAAGGGUGCGUAGGCAGUAAUGAAAGUUAGGUGUGAAAGCCCGAAGCUCAACUUCGGGAUUGAACUUGAAACUUCAUAACUAGAGUACAGGAGAGGUGAGUGGAAUUCCUAGUGUAGCGGUGAAAUGCGUAGAUAUUAGGAGGAACACCAGUGGCGAAGGCGACUCACUGGACUGUAACUGACGCUGAGGCACGAAAGCGUGGGUAGCGAAC
rnacentral:rRNA from 1 species